CUUGGGCCAAUCGCUACAGCUGCAGGAAUGCCUUGAAUUUUGAAUUUCCGACUCAGGAUUUGUUUCCUUUCAUCACCAAAUGGAAGGGCUAACCAAGGCAUUUCUGAAUAGAACUCGUCAAAGGUGGAUUGAUCUCUGUCGCUUGAGAUGAAGAUCACCUCAAAUGCGUUGUCUUUUCUUUUAAUUGUGUGGUAUGCUUCAAUUAGCUUGGGUAAAAAGGCACGACAAGGAGGGCACCAUUGAGCUGAGAAGUAAAGAAGAAUGUUCUUUCCAACUAGAUCGGACACUGGGACCUAAUCAAAGAGUAAACCAUUUGAAUGAUAAAAAAAACCUUUGCUAAUGAAUUCAAUUCGUGAUAAUAAGAAAGUUAUUGAAAGUAAUGCAAUAACAACAUGCGAGGUUAGCAUAGAACAAAAAAAAUUACCUUGGAGCCACUUUUGCCAAUCACAAAAUCAUUUUCCCCAUUAACCAAAACUGACUCAAGCGUCUGCGAUUCCAGUUUUGCCUUUUCAAUUGCAGCUAGCUCGUCAAGCUUUUCCGGUGUAAAUGGGUAGGCUUCGAUACCAUGUUCUUCGAUUAGUUCAGCUACAUUUGGGUUCAAAGUCUUCCCAUCUUGGCCAAUUAUAACAAGAUUAGGAAUGGUUCUAAGUUCAAAAUACCGCACUAGCUUCUCGCAGCUCUUGUCCUUCAAUGGCAAUGCCAACCAAGGCAUUGUCUCAAAACUCUCUUUGAAGUCUUCUUCUUCGUCGUCUAGAGAUAGUAGGACUACUUCAAAGUUCUCUCCUUUUUCCUUGAGCGUCUUAUACAAUUCCACUAGUUUAGGAGUGAAUUCACCGCACAUCCUAUGAGCAUGGACUGAAAAAUACAAGCCAACCAAUUUUCCUUCAAGGUCCGACACAGGGAUCUGCCAUUACAGAUAGCAAAAAUGUGAAUUAUGGCAUCAUCAAUUCAAUUUCAAAACUAGCUAAUUGAAUGAACCAUCUACCUUUUUUCCAUCAUUUGAAAUCACAUAAUCACGUGAGCUUGAAACCAAGAUAGAGCUUAUGGUUUGAUUCUUCUUAGCAUUCUCUUUAAGGAAAUUCAGUCUAUCAAGGUUGAACGGAUACCCAUCCACGCCAUGUUCCUUGACAGUGCUGACUCCAUUAUUAUCGCAGGAAACCUUACCAUUAGUAUCAAAAAUGACAAGUCUAGGGAUCCCUCUUACUUUGAACACUUCCUUAAGACGUUGGCGGGUCUCGGUUUCAGAGAAGGGAAUAGCAAGCCAUGGCAUUUCGGAGAAGUACGUGUUGAAGGAUUCAUCGUCUCCAUCAGAAGAAAUGAAGACCACCUCAAAGUCCCCUUUGGAUGAUAGGUGUUCAUAGACUUCUACCAACAAUGGAGUGAAAUUACGGCAUGGGCCGCACCACGAACCAGAGAAAUAGAAUCCCACAAUCUUCCCAACCAAAUCGCUGACCUUGACCUAAAAAUUAAUGUCGAACAUUAUCAGAAAAAAACAUCAGCCCUUGACGAAUCAAAAUCUUAUUCAUGGUUUCUUUCUCUUGCCAGUGAGAAGCAACAAAAAAAAGAGCCUUUUCUUAAUCAUAAAAGCUUCACAAAUUGGUCAUAAAUUUGUUCUUCAGCAAGGCUUGCAGUCUAAUUUAAACAUGAUAUUCAUCUUAAUUACUAGAAAAACCUACAAGUUCAUAUAAAAAAAGACGUCAACUUAUAAUAAGACAAGAAGAAGUAGAAUUGAAUAAGAUCAGAUCGAGGAACUCAUAUGCUAAAAGCAGUACCUGAUCACCAUUGUUGCGGAUGAGAAAGUCCCUCUCUUCUGAAGAAAGAAGCGUUGAAAGGUCGAGGGAAACGUCUUCGGUGGCCAUAGUUAGCUAUGUGAUGAACUACUCAAAAGGCUAGAACAAUUGCCAAUCCCAGUUGCUAUGUAAUGGAACUUCCAGGCUAAGGCUCCUUUAAAUUACCUACACGCCCGGCCUAGGAAAUUAUUGUUCUAAUAAUUCAACGACGACUUCAAGACUUGGCUGGCGUCGGGUGAUGACGAAGACAUUAUGACGUAGGUCUGCUGAAGUUGUUGGUAUUAGCAUUAUCACGGGCUUUUACAACUCUCCUCUUGCUUUUUUUUUUUUUUUAAUCUCUUUUUUUUUGUUUUUGUUUGUAUUCUAGUUUUAUCCAUGGUUUGAUAAAAAUUUUUGUGAGUUUGUUAUUAAAUGUAUUUUGUGUUUUAUCUUUUUAAUAAAAUCUUUAUAUUUCUUGAUACAAAAAAAUCCUUAAUUGGUUUUUUUAAUUAAAAAAUUAUUCUCUUUUGUUUUUGAUGCAUUUGAAAAUGAAUUUUUCUAUCAAUUUUUUUUUCUAAUAUAAAUCAAUAAUCAUAUGUAAAGCAUAGUUGAAAUGAACGAACGAACAAACAAACUAUAUACAUGACAUCUUACAUAGGAAGCUUAGGAAAGGGUGAAGGCCAAGAAUAAUGUAAAAUAAAACCUAUGACUCCACUACCAAUAAUGUAAAAAUAAUUAUUGAGAAAAAUAAAUCAUAAAAAUAUACUUCCAGCUCCAGUCAUCCAAAGCUUCUUAAGUCUCAGAAAAAAAAAACAUUUAACACAAACCUCAAUAAAAUUCAUAUGCUAAUUAAAUUCAGAUUUUUGUAACGUAGUCUAUUUUCUAUCAAAUGUGACUUGAUAAUAAUCACAUGCAAUUUAAUAGACAGGCUAAAAUCCAAACUUGAUAUAGUUCUUGGGUUAUAAUAGAGUUUUUCAAUAAUAAAACUCUUAACUUCUUUUUUUUAAAAAAAUAAUGAUAUUGCAUAUAUUUAAUAAUUAUAAAUAAAAUUAUAUUGUGUAUUUGAGCCAUGUCAGGACUCUAUUUCAAUAAAGAGACCCUAUAUUUUCAGGGGAGAAAAAAAGAGUUUUUAAAUGCAAUACUUUGUCAUAAGUCGUGACUUUUCCACACUCAAAAGGGCACCAUACAUAUAUGUCAUUAUACUUUAUCUCCAAACGUAAUUAAAUUAGUCAAUUAAUUGUAAGUGAGGGAAGUUAAUGAAUUUCCACUCUAAUUAAAAUGUUCAAAUUCAUUAUUCGCUUUCAACUUUAUCCUGAUUAAAUCAGGUUAAGUAGAUGACUUUCUUCAUUCGCGGGUAUCCACCAGAUAUCCUAAUCUAUUUUUUAAUUAAUUUUAUAAAAAUCAAACCCAAAUUUAAAAAAAAAAAUCCUUUAUUUAUGAAUCGUAAAACUAUGAAAUUAAAUUAAAUAUAAAACCAAGAGAUCUGGUUAGUUUAGUGUUGUUGCAAUGUGGACAAAAACUCAAAAUAUCACGGAUUGAAAUAGUGUUGUUUGUUUUUAAAAACAUUUUCAUUAUAGUCACCAAACACUUUUUAAAAUUUCUUUUAUCUUUGAAAUUUCAUUAUAAUAAUCAAUUACACCCAGUCUUUCACUGUAUAUGGGAACGAAAAUCAGCAUUUUUUUUUGUACAACUUUCUUUUCAUAACGUAAAGUAAAUCCAUCUCUUCAAUCCGAUCAAGUUGACGACAAAAUGCAAAAGAACAAAACAUAGCAUUAGCAUCCAAGUUGAUUUGUUUGGAAUUACAAGUAGAUGUGAGAAUGUGGGGUCAUUUCUUGAUUGGGAUAUUUCAGGGAAAAGGAAAAUAAUUAGAAAAAACAGUGGUGUGCUAAGAUGAAGAUGGAGGCUAGGAGCACUUACCGGUGCGAAGGAGAGACACGAAGGCCUAAAAUGUAAGCAACUUUGGUGUAAACAGGGACGGGUUUGGAAAGGUCAUUAUUAUUGAUGACAUUGUAGGAGUAGUUGUUUUUCACAGUUCUUGAAAGCUUUUUGCCACGUGUAACGGUUUUGAUGCAACCUCUUAUCAUCCCCACUAUCUCUUCACCUAUCCCCAAUGCUGUUUUUUUUUUUUUGAAAAAUUAAAUGUCAUUAUAUUAGAGUGAUGUUCAAAAUAGAAUCUUAUUUUAUUGCAUAAAAAAAUUUAAGACUUUAAGACGGGGGUUGACAGUUAGCAAUAUCAAAGAACCAUCUUAACCCAAUAGCUUAAGCUUUCAAGUGACGUCCCAAGAUAUGAUUUAUAGUAUUCUCUAACACACCCCCUCAAGUAAAAGCUCUUUGGGCUUGAAACUUGCACAGACCCACAUUACCUUGUGCUUAAUUUUUAUCAAAUAAAUAGGGAUGGUGAGAUUCGAACUCGUGACCGCUUGAUUAUCAAGGCUCUGAUACCAUGUCAAUGAACCAUCUCAACCCAAUAGCUUAAGCUUUCAUGUGAGGUCCCAGAAUAUGAUUUAUAUUAUUCUCUAACGAGUAAGAAUUUAAGGUUUUUUUAUUUGAUAAAUGUUCAUUUAACAUCAUUUUACUUUGAAAAAUUUAUGUUUUGAUACAAAACUCUAUUUUAAUCACAUUUCAGAUUAUAAGUUUUAGAAAAAAGAAAAAAAUUCAUUAAAAAUAGCGAAAGAGAGAGAAACACAUACACUGACAAGGUUUUGUUUGUGAAAAUAGCUUAAAUGUGUGUCAAUAUGUUAUUCUUGACAAGAAGAGUGCUACUAUAAUGUUUUUAAGCUUUAUAUUGUCAAAAAAGAUAAAUCGAGGUUGAAAGAGUUAUUUUUAAGUUAAACUUUGUGUUUUAAAAUUAUUUUAGAGUUUCUUUUUAGUUGAUGGAUUAGUUUAGAGGCAAUUUAAAAGUAUUUAUAAGAUGUUUUUAGAUAAAAACAUAUUAAAAAAUAGAAUUUUAAAUAAAAAACUCCAACCCAAUUCUUUAACCACUUCUCUAUUAUAUAAAAAAAAAAUAAAGCAAAUGAUGCGACAAAAAAAUAAAUCAAGCAAAUGAUUGUCAUUUGUUUUAUAAAAAAAAUAAAAUAAAGGACAAAUACUAUGUCAUCCAUCAAAGAAAAAAUAAAAUGGCUCUCAUCUUUUGGAUAAGCAUGCCGAGUCACUUGGCCCCACAAACAUGGCUUGUUUUUAGCUUCUCUUUUUUUUUUUUUAUGAAUCUUUAUCCUUGAGUUUUAAUUUUAUUUCAUUAAAAUUAAUUAUUUAAAAACACAUAAGGAUAUUAUUUUAGUAAAUACUUAAAUUAUUAAGAAUAUAUACGAAAUAUUAUUUUAUUAGAUAUCAUUUAAUUUUUAUUUUAUUUUAAAAUAAAAUUAUAAUGUUUUUUUUAUAAUAUUAGUAAGAGAUUUUUUUGGACUGAUAUUUCUUAUCUUCGCAUAUUCGCUGUCAAAGACUAUAAUAAUAGAUUCCAUGGAAAACAUUAAGGGUGUGAUUCAACUACUAAAUGAUAAUCGACUAAAAGAGUGUUUGGAGUCCACCCGUAUUUUUAAAAUAUUUUAAUUUUUUUAAUAAAAAUUAAUAUUUUUUUAUAUUUUGGAUUGUUUUAAUGCAUUAAUUUUAAAAAUAAUUUUUAAAAAAUAAAAAAAUAUUAUUUUGAUACAUUUCAGAAUGAAAAACACUUUGAAAAGCAAUCAUAACCACGCUCCCAAACAAGACAUGUUUAAAAAUGUGAUAGAAGUUGAGUUUUAAAAUAUUUUUUACUCAGAAAUAUAUUAAAAUAUAUAUUUUUUAAUUUUAAAAAAUUUAUUUUUGAUAUCAAUAUAAUAAAACAAUUCAACAAUACUAAAAAAAAAAAUUAAAUUUUAAACAAAUAAUAUUUUGCUUCAUUGAGCUAUAAACAAAAUAAUCAAAUUUUUAAUCUAUUUGUCACAUCAUGAAACAUGAUGAUCAUUAAUUAGCAAACACCACCAUGUAGGAAUCACAUGUGACACUUUAAAUUCAUCAUACCAAAUUGAUCAAAUUAUAACGUAAUCCCUAUAUUUUUAAGAAAUUAAUAGCUCACUCCCUUUAUUUAAAAGAAGCCAUAUUUUACCUCCCAUGUUAUCAUUUCCAUUUACUAUAACUUAGUUCUUCCUUUAGUUUUACAUUAUAAAAGUGCUAAACCAUUACUUUAGGUAUUAGUACAAAAAAAGUAUAUAUUAACGGAUUGACGGUCAAACCUUCUCAAUUGAGUAACUUUUUUUAUUUUUUUUUAUUAACAUGGGUAUUCGGGACAGUUUACGCGCAUCUUGACUAAUCCCAUAAACUCUGAAGUUAAUAAUCAUGUAAGCCUCCAGUAACUAUUAUAUUAGCAACCACAAGAUUUGAACCUGAGACCACAGGGAGAGUAAACCCCUUGGUCACCUACUAGAUGAUUAACUUUUUUUUUUAAAAAAAAACAGAAGGACUAACAUAUUGGUUUAUUGAGAAUACGAGGAUUCAAUUAUAAUUUACUUCAGGAAACAAAUAUGAUGCUAUUGACAUCCCCACAAGUGAACUGGCACAAUUAUUGUUUAUAUAAAAUUUCAAAAUGAUUUAUUCUUAAUUUUAACAUUUUAUUUUUAAAAUUUUAUUGUAAUGAAGUGACAGAGUAUGCUAAGAGUAUACCAAAAUAAAACACUGUUGUUUUAAUAUAAAAAUUAAUUUACAGGUUGACUGGAUAGCCUUAUAACCUAGAUGUUUUUCGAAGUUAGUUUUGAAUGAAUGGAGUGUUAUUAGUUAGUUCAGCGUGAUAAUUGGACUGAAAAUCUUUCGUUCUAAAUUAUCAACCAUUCAGAAUUGUUUUGUGCGUGAGGAUGCCAAAUUACCAAAACUAAACCCUAUUUAUAAUCCAUCACCUAUCAAUAGUGAUGUAAGAGUUCCAGCUUGUUUUCUGCAGCUGUGCCAAAACCUGGAGGGUCUAUACUAGCCCAGCAGUCCUUCCCCCGUCGUAAGGUAAGAGCCCAGCACCAGCAGUGUCCUUCCUCCGUCGUAGAGGGGUCCAUACACGAGAUGGCCAGAGAUAGUAAGUGAUUUCGAAAUAUUACAUUUCAGAUUAAGGUUGUCAAUUCCGUUCCGUUUCGCCCGGAAUGACCGAAACAUUCUAUACCAAUUCAAAAAACGAAACAAAACGGAACAAAUUUCAUCUCAUUUUAAAUCUCGGUCCGUUCCGGAUUUUUCGGCUAAAUUCCACCCGGAACGUUCCUGUUUCAUUCCACAUGUUCCGUUCCGCUCUUGAAAAGUCAUUGAAUCAAAUUGAACCUUGUUCAAUUUAAUUAAUUAAACCACCCAAUUAUAAAAAGUUUUUUUUCAUUAUAAUUUUCAAUAACAAUGAUAUUAAUAAUAAUAUUGAAAAUUAUUAUUACUAUUUUCAUUAACAAUGAUAUUAAUUUUUUAAAAUUAGAUUUAUCACUAAUAUAUAUGGUUUAUAUUCAUGUUGUUUUUUUCAUGUUUAUACUUUGUAGGAAUUUGAGCAAAAUAAAGGAUGCUUUAGAUUUCAUUAGCCUUGAUAAUAUUAACCUAGCUUUAUAUUUAAAAUAUUUGUGUUAAAACAUUUUAUUUUCAUAAUAUUUUGAUAUUUUGUUUAAGUUGAAUUACUUUAAGUUAAAGAUCUAUUUAAUCUUGACUAUUUAGAAAUAUUUUAAAUUUUAAAAUUAUAUUUGUUUGGCAUUGUGUUUGUAUUGCAUAAUUUAUAAUUAAUUUAUCUUGAAUUUGAAUUAUGUUUGUUGAAUAUAUAUAUAUAUAUAUAUAUAUGAACAGUACAACCCCGAAACGGCACGCCGAAACACUCCGAAACUGAAACAUUCCAUUCCAAUUGAAAAACGAAACAUCUAUCAAAACAGAAUUGACAACCUUGUUUCAGACUGCAACAAAUGAUAAGGUUUUGUGGCUGUCAUGGCGAAGGCAAAUUAAAGCACAUGAGAUUCAGUGGUGAGAAGCUAUGGAAAGUGGCAAAAAGAAACUGCGAGAACAUGAAACACGCAUUUGAACAUGAAAAAGUAAAUAAGCUGAACAUAAUUAAUGGGCCAUAGAAGCGAAGGUUUUUUCAAUGGCUUCAAACUUUUUGGCAGCGUGCUUGAUUGUUGUCGCCGAAUUUCUUGGCAGUGUGCUUGCUUGAAUUGCGGAUGUAUCACAUGGAUGAUAUUUUCGUUCUUUCGAGGCAUCAAAUAAUAUGGUGUCACGAGAAUUAAGCAAAUAGAAAAGCAUUAAAUUUACGGAAAUCUUUUCCUGUGGUCUUGGUGUAGUUGUUGGCUUUGCUAACUUCUACAAUCAAAUAAUAUGAAUGAAGCUGGUUCUUCAUCCAGCCAAAUAGAAACAAAGAGAGCGGCACAAUGGCAUCAUGCAUAGCAUUUUCCUUUAGGAAUGACAAAAACCUCAUAUCAAGUGAUUGAGCUAUGAGAACAACCAUCAACCAUGGAUUCCCAAGUUUCAAAUGGGUCACAGGAUUCACAAAAACACACAGAGCUGUUUAUUUAUUUUUCGUAUCCAAAUACAGGACAUGAAAACCCUUCAGCUUCACACUUCUUAGAUACAUAACGAUAACAGGAGAGACAUCCCCACUAUAUUCACACACAUGCAACAAACAUCUUCCAUUGCAUACUUACUACAGCAGAAAGCCCAUAAAACCCGACACAAGCAGCGCUUGCCUGCUUAAGCUCUGCGGCACACAUCUCCAUCGCAGACCCUUCCUUCCUUUCCCUUUUCACUUCCAGUAUCUUCAUCUUCCUUCAAAGCACACUUAGGGUGAAGAUCAAAGUCACAUUGUUUGCAAAAGAAAGACCACCUAUAUCCCGUUUCCCCACAGCCAUCGCAACCGUAUGCACUGCGUUUAGUACGUAUCAGCUCAUGCUCAGUAUGUAGUUCGUGUUUCACUUUCUCUGGCCACCCCUUCGCCUUUUCCUCAAGCUCCUCCUCCAAUUGCUUUAGAUGUUCCUCGGUAAAUGGAAAAGCAUCUGCCCCGUAAGCUGUCAAGUGCAUCCGAGCUUCCUUGGUAACGGUCCGGCCACUUGGGCCAAUCGCUAAAGCUGCAGGAAUGCCUUGAAUUUUGAAUUUCCGACUCAGGAUUUGUUUCCUUCCAUCACCAAAUGGAAGGGCUAACCAAGGCAUUUCUGAAUAGAACUCGUCAAAGGUGGAUUGAUCUCUGUCGCUUGAGAUGAAGAUCACCUCAAAUGCGUUGUCUUUUCUUUUAAUUGUGUGGUAUGCUUCAAUUAGCUUGGGUAAAAAGGCACGACAUGGAGGGCACCAAUGAGCUGAGAAGUAAAGAAGAAUGUUCUUUCCAACUAGAUCGGACACUGGGACCUAAUCAAGAGCAAACCAUUUGAAUGAUAUAAAAAACCUUUGCUAAUGAAUUCAAUUCGUGAUCAUAAGAAAGUUAUUGAAAGUAAUGCAAUAACAUGCGAGGUUAGCAUAGAACAAAAAACAUUACCUUGGAGCCACUUUUGUCAAUCAAAAAAUCAUUUUCCCCAUUAACCAAAACUGACUCAAGCGUCUGCGAUUCCAGUUUUGCCUUUUCAAUUGCAGCUAGCUCGUCAAGCUUUUCCGGUGUAAAUGGGUAGGCUUCAAUACCAUGUUCUUCGAUUAGUUCAGCUACAUUUGGGUUCAAAGUCUUCCCAUCUUGGCCAAUUAUGACAAGAUUAGGAAUGGUUCUAAGUUCAAAAUACCGCACUAGCUUCUCGCAGCUCUUGUCCUUAAAAGGCAAUGCCAACCAAGGCAUUGUCUCAAAACUCUCUUUGAAGUCUUCUUCUUCGUCGUCUAGAGAUAGUAGGACUACUUCAAAGUUCUCUCUUUUUUCCUUGAGCGUCUUAUACAGUUCCACUAGUUUAGGAGUGAAUUCACGGCACAUCCUAUGAGCAUGGGCUGAAAAAUACAAGCCAACCAAUUUUCCUUCAAGGUCCGACACAGGGAUCUGCCAUUACAGAUAGCAAAAAUGUGAAUUAUGGCAUCAUCAAUUCAAUUUCAAAACUAGCUAAUUGAAUGAACCAUCUACCUUUUUUCCAUCAUUUGAAAUCACAUAAUCACGUGAGCUUGAAACCAAGAUAGAGCUUAUGGUUUGAUUCUUCUUAGCAUUCUCUUCUUGCUCUUUAAGGAAAUUCAGUCUAUCAAGGUUGAACGGAUACCCAUCCACGCCAUGUUCCUUGACAUGUCUGACUCCAUUAUCGCAGGAAACCUUACCAUUAGUAUCAAAAAUAACAAGUUUAGGGAUCCCUCUUACUUUGAACACUUCCUUAAGACGUUGGCGGGUCUCCGUAUCAGGGAAGGGAAUAGCAAGCCAAGGCAUUUCGGAGAAGUAUGUGUUGAAGGAUUCAUCGUCUCCGUCAGAAGAAACGAAGACGACCUCAAAGUCCCCUUUGGAUGAUAGUUGUUCAUAGACUUCUACCAACAAUGGAGUGAAAUUACGGCAUGGGCCGCACCACGAACCAGAGAAAUAGAAUCCCACAAUCUUCCCAACCAAAUUGCUGAACUUAACCUAAAAAUUAGUGUCGAGCAUAAUCAGAAAAAAAAAAAAAACAUUAGCCCAUAAAUUAAGAGGGUAAACAAAAACUGAGGCUUUUCUUAAUCAUAAAAGCUCUAGAAAUUGGUCAUAAACUUGUUCUUCAGCAAGGGUCGCACUCUAAUUUAAACAUGAUAUCCAUCUUAAUUACGAGAAAAAGUUUAAUAAGACAAGUAGAAGUAGAUCGCAUAAGACCAGAGAAAUCCAUAAGCUAAAAGCAGUACCUGGUCACCAUUGUUGCGGAUGAGAAAGUCCCUCUCUUCCGACGAAAGAAGGGAUGAAAGGUCGUGCGAAACGUCUUCGUUGGCCAUUGUUAAGUGAUGAACUACUCAAAAUGCUAUAACAAUUGCCGAUUCCAAACGCUAUUUAUUGGGACAAACUGGGAUGGUUCCUUUUAAGUUACUUGCACAGCACGCCUAGGGAAUUAUCAUACGUCAACGAUGACAUGUAAAUUUGGAUGGUGAUGCCAAAUUAAAACAUCAUUCUCCUUAUCUAAAUACCAUAGUUAUUAAACCCGGCCCGGGGGUUGACCCGGCCAAGGGACCGGGUCCCGGGUUUCAUGGGUCAACCCGGGUCAACCCGGAUUAACCCGGAAAAAUUAAAAAAAAUUAAAGUUUUAAUAUUUCAUAUGAAAAAAUCUAUGUAAAUAUAGAUUAUACAUAUUAUGAAGUUUAAAAUAAUAUUUUAAAAAGUUUUUUAUCCCACAUUGAAAAAACAUAACUUUUUUCUUAGAAACAUAGAGUAUAUAUACUAAUGAGUUUCAAAUCCCACAUUGAAAAGAUAAUAUAUUAUCCUUUUAAGUUGAAGUAUUUAAACCAAAAGGUUUUUUAUCCCACAUUGAAAAAACAUGAUUUUUUUCUUGGGAACAUAGAGUAUAUAUAUUAAUGGGUUUCAAAUCCCACAUUGAAAAAACAUGGUUUUUUUUUCAUGGGAACAUAGUGUAUAUAUAUGAAAGGGUUUCAAAUCCCACAUUGAAAAGAUAUCAUGUUAUCCUUUUAAGUUGAAGUAUUUAAACCAAAAAGUUUUUUAUCCCACAUUGAAAAAACAUGGUUUUUUUCAUGGGAACAUAGUGUAUAUAUAUGAAAGGGUUUCAAAUCCCACAUUGAAAAGAUACCAUGUUAUCCUUUUAAGUUGAAGUAUUUAAACCAAAAGGUUUUUUAUCCCACAUUGAAAAAACAUGAUUUUUUUCAUGGGAACAUAGUGUAUAUAUAUGAAAGGGUUUCAAAUCCCACAUUGGAAAGAUACUAUGUUAUUUUUUUAAGUUGAAGUAUUUAAACCAAAAGGUUUUUUAUCCCACAUUGAAAAAACAUGGUUUUUUUCAUGGGAACAUAGUGUAUAUAUAUGAAAGGGUUUCAAAUCCCACAUUGGAAAGAUACUAUGUUAUCCUUUUAAGUUGAAGUAUUUAAACCAAAAGGUUUUUUAUCCCACAUUGAAAAAACAUGAUUUUUUUCAUGGGAACAUAGUGUAUAUAUAUGAAAGGGCUUCAAAUCUCACAUUGAAAAGAUACUAUGUUAUCCUUUUAAGUUGAAAUAUUUAAACCAAAAGAUUUUUAUCCCACAUUGAAAAAACAUGGUUUUUUUCAUGGAAACAUAGAGUAUAUAUACUAAUGGGUUUCAAAUCCCACAUUUGAAAAAAAAAAAAAAAAAAAAAACCCGGGUCUCGUCCGGGUCACCCGGGUUCCGGGUUGACCCGCCGGGUCGCCCGGGUUUGGCCGGGCUGUUGCCACAGCCGGUCUUUUAUUAAACCCGGCCCGGUCCAGCCACCGGGUCGACCGGGUCCCGGGUCGACCCGCCGGGCCGGGCCGGGUUUAAUAACUAUGCUAAAUACCAGUAGGUUCGAGAAACUGGUAUUAAACAUGCUUUCCCACGUGCUUUUACACACCUCCUUUUGCUUUUUUGUUUAAAAAAGAAAAAGAAAAAGAAAAAAACAUAUUUUUUUUUUUUUAAUUUCUCUCUCUUUUGUUUUAUCCUUAUUUCUUUUCCUUUAAAGAUUCAUACAGUCACCCAGUCACUCUUCACUUUUUACCUUAUUAGUUUAUACAGCUGGGUCAGGCAAGGAUUUAGUCUAGCAGCCAUAACAUUGGGUCUCAUAUAGUUGCUUGUCUAAGCAUCUUGGAUCAUCAGGCAUGGAUUAGGUGUAACAGGCAAGCCAGUUCCAAUUCAUGGGUAUGGUAUAAUUACCCUCAUAAUUAUCACAUUGAGCUUGCCUCUGCAGGUCAACCAAAGAUCCGGGUAAUCUAGGACCUUAGUUAGGUAUAUUUAAUUUAAAAUUCAGGUCUGUAAUUGGCCUAAAUAAAACCGGUCAUCUUGUUAGGUUAACUCGGAAUUUGAUUGACCCAGUAAAACUCAAUAGAUACCUGUUUUUUUAAAAUAUAUUUUUUCUCUUAACUAGAGAUCCUUUUCUUUCAUAUUUUUUAGUUGGUUAUAACUUAUUUCAAAGUUCACUAUAUAAAUACUAGAAGAAUGUUUUUAUUUUUUUAAUGUGAGAUUUGAAGCACUGUAGUAUAUAUACUCUAUGUUUACAAGAAAAAAGUUAUGUUUUUUCAAUGUGGGAUAAAAAACCUUUUUGAUUUAAAUACUUCAACUUAAAAUAAUAUGAUAAUAUCUUUUAAAUGUGAGAUAAAAAAUCUUUUAAAAUAAUCUUUUAAAUUUAAUUAUUUACAACAUGUAUAGCCUAUAUCCACACAGAUUGUUUCUUAAUUUUUUUCAUAUGAAAUAUUAAAACCUCAUAUAUUUUUUUAAAAUUUUUCCAAGUUGACCCAGGUCAACCCGUGAAAUCCGGGUCUCGGCUCCUGGGCCGGGUUUGAUAACUAUGGGUGCAAUAAAAAUAUAACUUUAAAGAAUGCAAUUAAAAAAAAUAAAGUGACGUGACCGGUUAAAAAAAUAAAAACUAAAAAAAUGUACAGAACCUCAUUUUUAUUUUUAUUUUUGCUCAGGGAGCCUCUUUUAAAUAAUAUUGAUUUUUUUUGUUAUGUGUUUAAUUUUCGGAGUGGUUUUUUUGGUUCAUCUAUGGUUUUGUUUUUAUUUUUUAUAUAGAUAAAAUAUGUUUUUGAAAAUAAAAAAUGUUUAAAUUUAGAUGAUAUUUUUAAUGUGUGUAGUUUUACAUGUUAUUCUUUUUUUUUAUUCAAUCAAUUUAAUGUAUUAUUUUUCACGAUUCAAUAUAUUAAUCUACAUUUAUCUCUCGAUUUUUUAAGUUUUGUUUUUAGAUGUCAUAAAUAAUUUUUUAUUGAUUUAUUAGUGCACAUAAUUCUUAGUUUAUUUGAUUACUUAUGUGCAUCAACAUUUUGAUUUGUUAUAGUUUUUGAACUAUCAAAAUACAUUGAAAAAACCUGUAUAAAUAUUUUUUUAUAAAAAUAAAAAUAUUUAACUUACAGUAAAGCGGGACACGUAGCUAAUAAAUUCUAUUAAAUGAGUUAGCAAGGUAGAAAACAAACUUGUAAUAGAUUUGUGCACAUUGUCAUUUCACCAUAAGUUACAUUAGCUCUCAAAACUUUUACGUAGAAACUUAUAAUACUAGAACUAACCAAACAUACUACCAGAAAUGUACUAAUCUUGCAACAAAAUAAGAAUCAACACAUCAAAUUUCCUUAGUGCCUUUGAAACAUAAAAUGUAAAUUAUUAGGGCACAAUUAAUAAUAACUUAUAGGUAAUAAUUAAUCUUCAUCAAAUAUGCUAAAUAACAUAAAUCAACUUUGUCAAACAUAAUUAUUGUGAACAUUGAUAUUUUUUUUAGCCCUGUUUGUUUCAUGAAAAAUGGUUUUUUAGAAAUUAUUUUCCAAACUUUUCUGUGUUUAUUUGUCAUUAGAAAAAUUAAUCAACAAAAAAAACUUUCCAAUCAAAGAAAAAUUUAACUUUGUUUCUAGAAAAGUGUUUUUCUUUUAUUUUGGGUGGAAAACACUUUCUAGAAGUUGUGAAAAAUUUAGAAAUGUCUUGUUAUUUGCUGAUUAUAUCAAAUUUGAUCCUCAAACUUUUAAUUGUUAUAUAUUUUGUUUUGAUUUUUUUCUUUCAAUUUCAUCAUUUAGAAUUUGAUUUAAUUUGAUUUUUAUAUCAAUUUUGGUCUUUAUUUUUAUUAUUGUUAUUUGCUUUUCUCUUGUCAUUUUCUUAAUUGAAAUUUUUUUAUCUAUCAAAUCUAGUCCUUAUUUUUUUUAUUGUUAUUUAUUUUAUUUGAAAUAAUUUAUAAAAUUAUAUAUUUUUUUAAUUUCAUCAUCUUUCAAUGUUUUUAUUUGUUAGAUUUGAUCUCUAUUAUUUUGAUUGUUAUUUAUUUUAUUUGAGAUAAUUUAUGAAAUUAGAUUUUUUUAAUUUUAUUAUCAUUUAAAUUUUUAAUUUGUAAUAUUUGUUCCUUAUUAUUUUAAUAAACUUAAAAAAAAAUAAUUUAUUUUCCAGCUCAUUUUGCAUGAUAUAGUUAAAUACUAGAAAAUGUUUUUAAAUUUUUUUGUUUUAUGAUACUAUCAAAAAUCAAAAAAAUAAUUUACUUUUUAAAAAUUUAAUUUUCAAGAAAAUUACCUUUUUUAAAAAAAUAUAUGUUUUUAGCAAAGAAAGGGGUUAAUGUUAAAUUUUUUUAUAUAUGACAUGGGGGCAGAGUGCAAGCCAGCUAGCCGGAUAGUCUUUGGUGGAUGUUCUUUAUACGAUUUUUUUUAGAUGGAAAUCUGAGCUUUAUUGACCAUGUAUGUCUUGCCAAGUGGCUUCUUUUCUUUCCUUAACUGUCAUGUCUCAUUUGAUAAUUGGGAAUUCCUGUCAGGGCUUCUUUAUUUUAUUGUUAUAUUAGUUUGGUUUUGUGUUUUUUUAAUCAAGUUGGUGGGUCCAGAAAUUAUGAUGUCGUCAAGGUUCUUUCCUCGACUUGUCUCUAAUUCUUGAAUAUAUUAACAAAACUUUUAAAAUACGUAAAAAUUAAAUAUACUAUAAAUCAACAAACAAUUUAUUUGGAUUUAUUUUUUUAUAUAUAUAGACACACACACUGUAAAUCAAGACAUAAUUAACUAUGAACUUGCAUAGUUAUUUUACUAUAUAUUAAAACAUUUGGAAAAAACACUGGAGAUUUACUAUGAACACAAACACAUUGUUCUAUGAAAGACACUAUGUCAUAGAGUAUUUGCACUGUGGACGACACUGUAGCACCCUGGGAGCGUUCCUUUCCUUUGUUUUUAGUCAAGAAUUGCGGCUGGGGGUGUGACAUUCUUUGCCGAAAGCCGUUGGGUCUGCCUUUGGUAGCUGGACCUAACGCUGUUGGGUCUGGUUGACAAGUCAGACCCAAAACACUUCCAAAACAUGUCAAUAGCGUUGGGUCCUGCAUCCCAGCCAGACCCAACAGAGUAUUUGACUGUGGACACAGAGUGUUUGACUGUGGAUGACACUGUCUGUAGCGCCUGUCAGAGGCGUUAUCUUUUCUGUUUGUAAGUCAGAAAGGGUUGUUGGGUCGUUGCAGCAGGACCCAAUAGCUUUGGGUCCUGCUGGAACCAUUAGAGUUUGGUCUUGCCCUAGUAGGACCCAAGACUGUAAUUUUUUUUCCUUUUUCAUACGGGUAUGGCUGCGUAACCAGACCCAACAGCCAUACCCCAAUUAAAUUUCUUGGCCGUUACCUUCUCUAAUUUAAAUUUAUUUUUUAAAAUAAAUUGAUUGUACUGUGGACACCACUAUAGCACCUUCCCAGAUCGAUCCCAGCUUUAUCAUCUACACACGCACGCACAUGCACUUUUUUCCUUUGUCGACAAGGAAUUAAAGUUGAUCAAUGCAAGAAAGUAGUAAGAUCACUGACAUCGGCAUACGAAGAUUGUAAAAAAAAUUGAUUUCCUUUGGUGGAUGGAUUGGGAAUCCAUGUUAUCACAUAUGUGAGAAUUCAAUCCCGCAUGCCUCUGUACAUUGUAAAUAUAUAUCUUUUUCACUACAGUAUAACACCACCAUUGAAUAUUAAUGGAAGACCAUUGAUCAAUAAGGACGACUGGCUUCCAAACCCAGUAGCCAUACCUAAUUAAAUUUCUUUGUCGUUGCCUUCUCUGACUUAAAUUUAUUUCUUAAAAUAAAUUGAUGAUAUUUUUUUUUAUAUUGUAUCAAAGUUGUGUGAUGAUAAUUUUUUUUUCCAUUUCAAGUUGGGUUGAAUUUCCUAAUUAAAUCAUGUUUGAUUUUGCGUUUCAGAAAUUCUUUGAAAUUUUUUUGACAAUUUUUAAGUUUUUUUCUUUGCUUCAAAUUAAUAUUUUUGUUAUGUUUUUGUAUUUUUUUAAAAAAAUAUAUGUUGAGAUUUUGUCUGGCUGGGAUGUUAGACCAAGAAAUUUUUUAAUUUUUCAAUUUUUUUCUUUACUUCAAAAUAAUAUUUUCUUCAUGUUUUUGUAUUAUUUUUUAAAUAAUUUUUUUUAAAAAAUAUAUAUUGAUAUUGUGUCUGGUUGAGAGGUGAGAACCAAGAAAUUUAAAUUUUUUUAAUUUUUUCUUUAUUUUAAAUUAAUAUUCUUUUGAUAUUUUUGUAUUAUUUUUCAAAAAAUUAUACUGAAAUUGGGUCUGGCCGCGUAGCCAGAUCCAUGGCUGCGUUGGCCCCUGCCUUCCAGCAUGACCCAACAGCGUUGCCCACUACUCAUAAUAGGACUCAACGCUUAAUUGGACCCUGCUGCCUCCAUGCCCAACAACUUUUGCAACUAGGACCCAACAACGGUGGGCUCGGUCUCCGAGCAGGACCCAAUAUGCGUUGCCAGCCUGGGCGAUUGGGUCCUUUCCGCUGAAGGCACUUGACUGUGUAGCAAGCAUCGAAAACACAAGCUCAGUAGCAAUUCAUUUUUGCAACUAGACAGGCUAUAAACAAGCCUAUAAGCCCUUUUUUCUCUUAAAGAGAGAGAUUCAUACUUAUCAAUAUUACAAGGGAAAGAAAAGAUCCGAAACCGAAAAGGGAUUAUCUUGAUUUGAUUGCUUUCUAAAUAGGAUGUGCAUUUCUCCUAGAACCAGUUGGCUUACAGGCUUACAGGGAACCAAAAAUGCUUGGAAGUGACAAUUAGAUUUCUCUUAUUUAAAUUUAUUUUUCAAAAUAAAUUGAUGAGACUUUUAUUAUAUUGAUUAAAAGUUGGGUGAUGAUUUUUUUUUUCAUUUCAAGUUGGGUUGAAUUUUCUAAUUAAAUCAUGUUUGAUUUUGCGUUUCAAAAUUUUUUUGAAAUUUUUUGGAUAAUUUUUAUUUUUUUUUCUUUACUUCAAAUUAAUAUUUUUUUUUUAUGUUUUUGUAUUAUUUUUUAUAAAAAAAAUAUGUUGAGAUUGUCUCUGACUCGAAGCCAGACCCAAGAAAUUUUAAAAUUUCAAUUUUUUUCUUUACUUCAAAAUAAUAUUUUUUUUGAUGUUUUUGUAUUAUUUUUAAAAUAUAUUAUCUAAAAACAUAUAUUGAGAUUGUGUCUGGAUGAGAGGGAAGACCCAAGAAAUUUAAUUUUUUUUUUCUUUACUUCAAAUUAAUAUUCUUUUGAUACUUUGGUAUUAUGUUUUUAAAUAUCAUUUUAAAAACAAUUAUGUUAAGAUUAGGUCUGGUUGCGUCACCAGACCCAUGGCAGCAGUGGGCCCUGCCUACAAGCAGAACCCACCGCUACUAGGUCCUUCUGUCAAGCAUGACUCAAUGAUGUUGGGCCCUGCUGCCCAGCAGCGAUGGGCCACCCUCCAGGACCUAUUAGCUUUGGGUCUUGCGGCCAGCACGACCCAUCAAAAAGCAUUGGGUCUUGCUGGGGGCAGGACCCAAUAAGCCAAUACUGUAAUGUGUUUUUCUUUUCUCUUAUUUUUUUUCACAGGGUAAAGAGGAAAUAUUAUUAUUAUAUUAUUAUGUUAUUGUUAUUGUUAUUGUUAUUCUUAUCAUUAAUAAAUUCAAAGAAACAAAAUUAUUACGAUUGAAGAAAAACCAUAAAUUUUAUUUAAAGAGAUUAAAAAAUAUAAAAACUUGAGUCAGACAAGUUUAACAUUAUUAUUAGUAUUAUAAAUAUUAUUAUUUUUAUUAUAGGUAAUACUAUUAAUAUAAUAAUUAAUAAAUUUGAAAAAAAUAUCAUUAAUAUUGAAAAAUAACCAUGGAUUUGAUUUGAAUGUUAAAAUUAAAAAUUAUUAUUAUUAUUAUUAACUUGGGUUUGGCAUCCCCUUCUAAACUUGAGAAACUUGGGGCACGAAAGGGACACAUGAUCGAAGUUGCUUGGGAGAGGCAAGAGCGCGGAUUCAAGUCCCUUAGGUCUUGCAGCCGCGCCUGACCCACCAUAUUUGGGUUAGGUGUUUGGAGCAAAGCUUGGGUCUGGCUGCAAUGCCAGACCCAAGAGCGUUGAGUCUGGCUGAAAGGACGGACCCCAAGCUCAGGGGUCUUUCUUUUUAAAUAGACCCAAUGCUCUUGCGAGCUGGACCCAUUAAAGUUAAAACAUGCUGCCACCAGAGCCCAGCAGCAGUGGCCCUGCUGCCAGCCCCACCUGCCUAGCAAGACCCAAUGUUGUUGGGUCCUUCUGUUAAGCAUGACCCAAUGAUGUUGGGCCCAGAUGGGUACCCAGCUACUGGGUCAUUCUGCCGAGCAUGACCCAAUGAUGCUGUAACUUUAAUGCGUUCGGAUUGCAGCCAGAUCCAAUGCUCUUGGGUCUAACAUUAAUAAGGGGCGCAAAGCUCUUGGGUCUGAUGUUGCAGCCAGACCCACUUACUCUUUGAUAAGUUUAAUAUUGUUAUGAAUAUUAAAAAUAUUAUUAUUUGUAUUAGAAAUAUUCUUAUUUUUAUUAUAAUUAAUAUAGUAAUUAACAAAUUUGAAAAACAAAUUUAAUAUUGAAAAACAACUAUAGAUUUGAUUUAAAGGGUAAACUUAAAAAUUAUUAUUAUUAUUAUUAUUAUUAUUAUUAUUAUUAUCAUCAUUAAUAAAUUUUUUUAAAAAAUUAUUAUUGUGGAAGAAAAACCAUAAUUGUUUUGUGAAUAGAUUAAAAAAAAUAAAAACUUGGGUCAGACAAGUUAUAUAUUAUUAUUAAUAUUAUAAAUAUUUUUUUAAAAAAAACUAUAUUGAGAUUGUGUCUGGCUGAGUAGUGAGACCCAAGAAAUUUUAAAAUUUUUAUUUUUUUUCUUUACUUCAAAUUAAUAUUCUUUUUAUAUUUUUGUAUUAUUUCUAAAAAAAUUAUACUUAUUAUAUAUUAUAUUAUAUAUGUACAUAUUUUUAUUUUCUAUAUUAAAACGCGUUAUCUUUGUUGUUUGUAAGUAAAAAAUUACGGCGGAUUAAUGGAUCCUGCUACCACCAGGACCUAAUAGCGUGAGACCCUGUUGCGAGUAGGAUCCCAUUGGCGUGAGGUUCUAUUGCCUGCAAGAUCCCAUAGUGCUGGGUCCUUUAGGACCCAUUAGUGUUGGAUCCUGCAAGACCCAUCAGCUUUGGGUCCUGCGGCAAUCAAAACCCAUAAAAAAGUGUUGGUCUUGCCACCAGCAGAACCCAAUACUGUAAUGUGUUUUUCUUUUUUCUUAUUUUUUUCUUAAAGGGUAAAGAGGAAAUAUUAUUAUUAUAUUAUUGUUAUUGUUAUUGUUCUUUUUAUCAUUAAUAAAUUCAAAGAGAAAAAUGAUUACUAUUGAAGAAAAACCAUAAAUUUUAUUUGAAGAGAUUAAAAACAUAAAAACUUGGGUCAGGCAAGUUUAACAUUAUUAUUAAUAUUCUAAAUAUUAUUAUUUUUAUUAUAGUUAAUAUUAUUAGUAUAAUAAUUAAUAAAUUUGAAAACAAAUAUCAUUAAUAUUGAAAAACAACCAUAGAUUUGAUUUGAAGGGUAAAAUUAAAAAUUAUUAUUAUUAUCAUCAUUAAUAAAUUUGAAAAACAAUAUUAUUACUAUCAAAUAAAAAUAAUAAAUUUUAUUUAAAGGGAUUAAAAACUAUAAAAACUUGGGCCAAAUAAAUUUAAUAUUAUUAUUAAUAUUAUAAAUUUUAUUAAAUUCAUUAAUAUAUUAAAUUUGCAAUGAAUUUCAUUACUAUUUAAAAAAAACAUAGAUUUGAUUUGAAGGGUAAAAUCAAUUAUCAUCAUAAUCAUCAUCAUCAUCUACGCGGAGAAGACGGUUAUAAGUAGGAUUUGGGUGCGGCUCUGCAGCCAGACCCAGAGAUAUUGGUUAUGGCUGCACAACCACACCUUUAUUUAUUAGGUGUUGCUCCGCAGCUACACCCAAUAGAUAAACCUGAUUGGAUUGGGUCCUUCUGCCAACUUUUACACCCAAUAGCAGGACCUGAUUGGCUUCGAUCCUGUUGCCAGCAGCACCCAACACCUAUCAACGUUGGGUCCAGUACCAGUAAGACCCAAAAGCUUUGGGUCUGGCGAAACUAGACCCAUCGACGAUGGGUUCUGUUGACAGCUGAAUCUAUCAGCGUUGGGUCCUGUUAAUCAGCAAGGCCCAAAAGUUGUGGGUCUUUCUGUCAGACUCAAUGCUAUUGGAUCUGGCUUGCACUAGACCCAAGACACUUAAAACAAUUUCUACAUUUGACAAAAAAAUUCUUUUUGACACGCUGCGGAGCACAGACUAAUAUGUUAGAUAUCAAACAAUAGCGUGUGUACUGGAUUACUGUGGAAAUUAUUUUUUAUAUAAAAAUAUAAUAAAAUAAUAUUUUUUAUUUUUUAUAAAUUAUUUUUAAGAUUAAAAUUUAAAAUGAUUAAAAAAUAAAAAAUUGUUUUGAAAAAAACAAUUCAUAUUUUUAAAAACAUAGUUUAAAAAGCUACUAGAUGCCAUGUCCGCGCGAUACCGCGAGCUUGUGCAUUGUCGUGGGUUUGUGGAAAAAAUCAUAAAAAAUAAAAAAAAAUCAUAUGGAGAAAACUUGUUGCAAUCCACAAUGUUUUCAAGGAAAAAACUAUAAAGCUAAAUUCUCAACCAGCUUAAUAUUAAAAAAAUAAAAUCGACAAAGAUAAUUUUGAAAAAAAUCAUAACAAAAAAAAACGAAAUGAAAAAAAAUCAUGCAGGGAAACACUAUAGCAAAUAGUGUUUCCUGAGAAAAUCUACAGUUGUAAUUCUCAACCAUUUCAAUAUUAAAAUAAUAAAAUCGAUAAAGAUAAUUUUAAAAAAAAAUCAUAAAAAAAAAUCAUGUGGGGGAACACGGUAGCAAUCCACAGUGUUUUAAAGAAAAAAAACUAUGAAGUUAAAUUCUCAACCAGCUUAAUAUGAAAAAAAAAUCGACAAAGACAAUUCUGGAAAAAAAAUCAUAAAAAAGAACAAAAAAACGAUGUGCGGAAACACUGUAGCAAUCCACGAUAUUUUAAAGAAAAAAACUACAAAGCUAAAUUCUCAACUAGCGCAAUAUUAAAAAAAUAAAAUCGACAAAAACCAUUCUGAAAAGAAAAACACAAAAAAAAGAAAAAGAAAAGAAAGAAGAAGACAAUUUUGGAAAAAACAAAGCAAAAAAAAAUGAAAAAAAAUAGAAAAACAAACAUGCGGGGAAAGUUAAAGCUAAAUUCUCAACCAGCUCAAUAUUAAAAAAAAUUGACAAAGAUAAUUUAAAAAAAAAACAUGUGAGGAAGCACUGUAGCAAAAUAAAAACCUUGUGGGGAAACAUUGUAGCAAUCCAUAAUGUUUUUUUUAAAAAAAACUAUGAAGCAAAAUUUUCAACCAGCUCAAUUUAAAAAAAAAAUCAAAAAAUAUAAUUUUGAAAAAAAACACAAAAAAAACAAAAAAAAACAAAAAAAAAGACAAUCUUGGGGAAAAAAAGGAAAAAAAACAUGUAAAACCCAAAAAAAGGAAAAAAAUGAAAAUAAAUGUUGGGAAAAAUAAAAAAAACACAAAAAUAAAAUAAAAAGAAGACAAUCUUGGAAAAAAAAAACAUGUAAAACAAAUCAAAAAAAAUGAAAAAAAUAUGGGGACUUUCCCCACACAUUUUAGAGUAUUACUAGUUACAUGACCCGCGCGAUGAUGCGGGUUAAUUUUUUUUAUAUAUAAAUAAAAUUUAAAAAAAAACUAAGAUCUAAAAAUAUUAGGUUUUUCUGUAAAGCUAUAUCCAAGAGUUUUGGGUUUGACUGCAACGCCUGACGCAAAAAUAAUAUUUAUAAUUCUUUAUCCUUUGAAAAUGUUAUGUACAAGAUCAAAUGUAUCUUAUGUUUUGAGCAUAAUGAGUAAACGUAAAUCUAAUCCAUGUAAAAGUAAUAGAAAAAUAGUUAAUAAUAAUCUUAAGUACUGAAAAAUAACUAAAAUGUUUUUCUAAUCUAUGAAAGAAAAGAGCUAGUAAUUCAUGAUUAUUUAAAUGCUAGUUUUUAAUUAAAUAUUGAAAAUAAAAAUUUAAUUUGAUUAUAUUAUAUUCUACAUAAUAAUGAUGCUAUGAGUUGAAAGAAUUUUAAAUAAAAGAUCAAAAUAGAUUUUACAACUAAAAUUAAAUAUAUCUCUAUAUUUGAAGGAACAAAAAAUUUUUUUAGUAAUUCUAAUAUUAUUGAUCCAGUAGCUAUGUUUUUUUAUUUUAUUUCCUUUUCACUUUCUAGAACUGCAUUUGGACUUCCACCAUCAUUGCAUGGGUGGAGGGAGUACAUCAGCAGAAAUACGAGAUCCCAACAGGAAACAACUAAACAAAGAACAUAAAGAUCAAACUUGCAUUUCUCCGACAGAGAGAGAGAGAGAGAGGAUACACCCUUGCAUGGGUUUUGUUUUCUACAUAAAAUCCAUUCGUGUCAAGUUCACAACGUGCAACAAGAAAAUAUUCAUGUUGACAAGGGCUUCAAAACACAGAUUGAGAUUCUAAAGAACACUAGUCAUCCACAGUCAAAAGGGAUCACAAAUCAGUACCCUGUUCUCUUCCUUUUGCUAGAAAUCAGUAUUGAAUUUUGUCGAACGAAGACUGCAUACAAUUUUGAGGGGAAGAAAAAACAAAGCAGUGCUUCUUUGCGCCAUUGUCUCCUUAUCUGGUAGCUAUGGAGAAACUUCUUUAAAAUAGCAGUACUUUCUCCAUCUACAAGUUGAGAUGCCUAAAUUUUAAACCAAAAGCAACCUCUAUCCACUGGGGCUACUUCAAUGAUUUCCCUUUUGUGGUCAUUUGAUCUUGUACAUAACAUUUUCAAAGGAUAAAGAGUUUUGGGUUUGACUGCAACGCCUGACCCAAAAUUUUUUAAAAAAACUAAGAUCUAAAAAUAUUAGGUCUUGCAGGUUCUUUUAUUGCUUGAUUUCUCCAUCAAAUCGAACACAACUUGCACGAAACGGAUCCCCUACAGUUCCUCUACAACCCCAUGUGAACGUUGCAGGAUGAAUGACAACACGGCGUCACCGGGGACGGCGUGAAGAGGUCAAUGCAGGCAGCCUUUUCCUGCAGAUUUGACAACUCAGGGAGGCUACUUUGAACCAACGGUUGGGAUCCUUCCCAACAGAAUCAAGGCUGAAAUUUUUUCCCGGUAUAGACAAGAUUGCCCUCUUCCACCGCCUAUAAAUAGAGGCGGAGUUGAUGGCCUGAUGGAGGAGAAAAUCGAGUCCAAAGUUGACAAAAAAACCAGCCUCCUCCCUAGUUUUUUUUUUCUUUUUCUGCAACAAGUCUCUCUCUCUACACUCUCUCUCACCGUGCUCUCAGCGACUCCAAGCCACGCCGCCACCAGCUCGUCUUCCACCCUCUCCACCACACUUAUUCCUCUCCACCGAAAGCACCUCCUUUUUCCUCCACAACGGCAGCAGCCCAUCAACACCAUCAUUUUCAUUUUCUUUCUUCUCCAGUAUCGGCAACAGCAGCACCGACUCCUCCACAGACGCCGCCACCAGCUUCAGGGCGACUACUCGGACCACCUCCAACCUCACUCCAGGUCGGUGACAUCAACUGCUUCUCCCCCCCGCAAGGUUGCCUCCCGCUCCACUCCGCGGGCUGCAACUGCAAAGUUGCAUAUAGAACGUGAACUUACUGUUCACGUUCUGCACAUAAUUCAUUUCACUUGGGUCAAGCCAGUUCUGGCCCAGACCAAAUGUUUGGGCCGGGUCCGGCCCCCAAAAAGGAGAGAAAGAAAGUAUGUUGGGCCGAUAUCGGCCCAAUCUUUUUGGGGCCGAUAUCGGCCCACUGUUUCUGGGUUUAUGUCUGGCCCAGUCAUCUGGGCCGGCCCAGCCCACCUGUUUUAAUAAUAUUUAUUUAAUAUAUAAUAUUAUAUUAUAUAUUUCUUUUAAAAAAAACAAAAAAUUCCAAAAAAAUUUCAAAAAUCCUUUGAAAAAAAUUGUGAUUUUCUCAAAUAUUUUUUUUACCAAUUUUGCAUAAUAUCGGGUUGUAUAUUUACACUGUAAAAUACAAAUCCUGUAUUAAAAUACCUGGUUUUCUCUGAAAUAUUUCAAAAAAAAGAAAAUUAAAACAUUCUAAAAAAGAAAAAAUAUUUUAUUGCAUACGGCCAAAUCCUAAAAUUUUUCCAAGCAUAUUUUUCAUAUAAAAAAAUGAAAACAAAAAUUGCAUCUUUUUCAUGUUUAAAAAAUCCAAAAAUGGAUAUCGUAACCAAUUUAUGAUUAUCCACUAGGAUUUGGUCAACAUGUCAAAAACCUUUUUCUAAUUUUUUUAGGGUCCAGAUGUAGACUUUAAUAUUUAUGGGUGUAAAAUUACACGAUAAAAUACACCCUCAAGUAUUAAAGAUACAAGGUGUAAAAAUACGAUGCUAAAAUUCAGACUUUAAAACGGUUAGGAUUUAACCCAAUAAGGUAGAGACUUUCUCAUGAAACGAGAUCUGCCUUGAGCCUUAGAAAAGACCAACGAAUAGAAACCCAACUUGGAAAAAAACAAUCAAACAAUAAUGCAGCUUACCUUAGGUAGGGUGCACUAGGUGUGAUGCGUCUUCCCCUUGCACAACCAGUCCCUUACUCAGACUCUCGCAGACCAUAGGUUCCUAGUGACCAUAAUACUAGGUGGCGACUCCUGAAUCUUAAUCAUAAUUUUAUGAUUAAAUCCAAAAAAAUCUUCCUAACACACCUCACAUAGGAGGCACGACAGAAAGCCUUCUUUGUCGCCAGACGACAUCGCACCGGCGCUCGCGCACCCCGCGACAAAGAUAAUUUAAAAAAAAAACCAUAAUAAAAAAAAUUAUGUGGGGAAAGACUGUAACAAUCCACAGUUUAAAAAAAAAUAAAACUAAAUUUCUAAACAGCUUAAUAUAAAAAAAAAAAGAAAAAAAAAAAGAAGGUCUUCGGUGGCCAUUGAUAGCUAUGCGAUGAACUACUCAAAAUGCUAGAACAAUUGCAAAUCCCAGUUGCUAUGUAAUGGAACUUCCAGGCUAAGGCUCCUUUAAAUUACCUGCACGCCCGGCGUAGGAAAUUAUUAUUCUAAUUAUUCAACGACAACUUCAAGACAUGGCUGGCGUCGGGUGAUGACGAAGACAUUAUGACGUAGGUCUGCUGAAGUGGACCAAGUGGUAUUCGCAUUAUCACGUGCUUCUACAACUCUCCUCUUGCUUUUUUUUUUUAAUCUCCUUUUUUUUUGUUUUUGUUUGUGUUCUAGUUUUAUCCAUGGUUUGAUAAUUGUUUUGUGAGUUUGUUAUUAAAUGUAUUUUGUGCUUUUAUCUUUUUAAUAAAAUCUUUAUAUUUAUUGAUUAAAAAAAAUACUUAAUUUGUUUUUUUAAUUAGAAAAUUAUUCUCUUCUGGUUUUGCUGCAUUUGAAAAUGAAUUUUUCUAUCAAAAUUUUUUUUUCUAAUAUAAAUCAAUAAUCAUAUGUAAAUCAAAGUUGAAAUGAACGAACAAACAAACUAUGUACAUGGCAUCUUCCGUAGGAAGCUUAGGAAAGGAUGAAGGCCAAGAAUAAUGUAAAAUAAAAACCUAUGCCUCCACUACCAAUAAUGUAAAAAAAAUUAUUGAGAAAAAUAAAUCAUGAAAAUGUACUUCCAGCUCCAGUCAUCCAAAGCUUCUUAAGUCUUAGAAAAAAACAUUUAACACAAAUCUCGAUAUAAUUCAUAUGUUAAUUAAAUUCUCAAAGAUAUCGAGAGAAUUCUUGAUUAGAUUUUUAACGUAGUCUAUUUUCUAUCAAAUGUGACUUGAUAAUAAUCAUAUGCAUCAAAAUAAAUUCUCUUUAAAUAGUUAUUGGUUUUUUUCUUUUUUUUUAUGUUUUUUUUUUAUUUUUUCUAAAAUUAUCUUUAUUGAUUUUAUUUUUUUAAUAUUUAUUCGCAGUUAUAACACCAUCAAACAUAUUUAUUUUAUAAACUCGUGAUAAUGUGCUAGCAUGCUAUUUAGUAUCAAAUUAUAGUGUGUGUAUAGUAUUACUGUGGAGAUUAUUUUUUAAAAUAUUUUUAUAUGAAAAUAAUAUUUUUUAUUUUUAAAAAAUUAUUUUUAAUAUUAAAAUUUAAAAUGAUAGAAAAAAAUAUAAAAAAAUUAUUUUAAAAAAACAAUUUAUAUUUUUAAAAACACAGUUUAAAAAGCUAUUCCAAACAGCGCUGGAUCCACCACGCAGCUUGGGCUUACGUCCCUUUACGAAAGAUGAGAUUCACAAUAACAAGAGAAGAAGGGUUACUGCUACAAUUACAGGAAUAUUUGCUCUAAAGGUGAAGUUUCUCCAUCCAACCAGGUAGAAACAAAGAGAGUGGCACGAUGGCAUCAAUUUUAUUAGACGAGUGCUAUAAGUUUGGAGUUCACAAUUACUAUUUCUUCUAUUAGAAAACACAUUGCAAUGUAUGUAUAUUCUUUUUUAUGUUGAAAAUUUUUAACGAAGGGCGGGUUAACUAGUUAAUAGUCUCAUGUUCUUUAGAAAUUGAAGGGAUUAAACACUAAAGUAACUAACUUUCCUCGCCAAAAAAAAGGUAUGGUUUGAUUUUUUAACAUAUGAUUGAAAUUUAAGUUUUAAAUUUAAGUUUUAAUCGCCACUAGAUUGGUAGCCUGCAUGCCAUGUCACGCGCUAGCAGGAUUAAUUUUUUUUUCAUCGGAAGAAAAAAAUGCUUAGUCAUUUUAUAUUGGAUUAAUAUGAUUAAAACAAUAGGAAUGAUAAGCAUUUUCCUCUACGAAUGAGGAAAACCUCAUAACAAGUGAUGGAGAUUUGAGAACAACAAGCAACCAUGGAUUCCCAAGUUUCAAAUGGGUCACAGGAUUCACAUAAACUUAGCCAAUCCGGUUAUUUAUUCUUCGUAUCGAAAUACAGGACAUGAAAAUCCUUCAGCAACACACCUCUUAAUUACAUAUCAAUAACAGCAAAGACAUCCACAUCUUCACACACAUGCAACAAACACCUUACAUCGCACGCUUCUUAUAGCAGAAAGCCCAUAAAACCAGAUACAAGGAGCGCUUGCCCGCUUAAGCUCUGCGGCACACAUCUCCAUCGCAGUUCCAUCCUUCCUUUCCCUUUUCACUUCCAGUAUCUUCAUCUUCCUUCAACGCACAUUUCGGGUGAAGAUCAAAGUCACAUUGUUUGCAAUAGAAAGACCAACUAUGUCCUGUUUCACGACAGCCAUUGCAAACAUAUGCUUUGCGUUUAGUACGAAUCAGCUCAUGCUCAGUAUGAAGUUCGUGUUUCACUUUCUCUGGCCACCCCUUUUCCUUUUCCUCAAGCUCCUCCUCCAAUUGCUUUAGAUGUUCCUCGGUAAAUGGAAAAGCAUCUGCCCCGUAAGCUGUCAAGUGCUUCCGAGCUUCCUUGGUAAUGGUCCGGCCACUUGGGCCAAUCGCUACAGCUGCAGGAAUGCCUUGAAUUUUGAAUUUCCGACUCAGGAUUUGUUUCCUUCCAUCAACAAAUGGAAGGGCUAACCAAGGCAUUUCAGAAUAGAACUCGUCAAAGGUGGAUUGAUCGCUGUCGCUUGAGAUGAAGAUCACCUCGAAUGCGUUGUCUUUUCCUUUAAUUGUGUGGUAUGCUUCAAUUAGCUUGGGUAAAAAGGCACGAC
rnacentral:lncRNA from 1 species